rnacentral:lncRNA from 1 species
AAUCUUCCAAGUUUUUGUUUCAUCAGACUAUGGAGCAUGCAAAUGUGGAUGAUAUUGAAAAGGACAUUACUCUUCCACUUUCUCCUUGUAUUAGUUUUGCUGGAACUUGCAUAUUCAAGUGUAAUAGUUUUUACUUGGUUGUUGAUCGGCAUGUUAUUAUAGAUAAUCUU